CUUAUUCAUGCUCUGAAGCAGUUUUCUUCAUACACUGACGGCCUUGGCCGUGUUCAUAGUUCUAUAUUUACUAGUAUUCAUGGGAGCAUGAAUGUAUGGUGAGGGGCUUGGAUGAAGAGGAGUGAUGAGAACAAGCAACUCCUAAUUGCAGCCCUUAUUAAGGCCGAACCAUUGCUCGUAUUUGAUUGAAAUCCACUUUUUUUGCUGGACCGGGCUUGCAGAUUAAGGCCGAAUUUGAUUGAAAUCCACUUUUUUGGUGGACCGGGCUUGUAGAUUAAGGCCGAAAGUCUCCCAGCGGGUGAUGUUCCCAUUGUCAUUUCCAUUGCUCGUAUUUGAACCAUUGCUCGUAUUUGAUUGAAAUCCACUUUUUUUGCUGGACCGGGCUUGCAGAUUAAGGCCGAAAGUCUCCUAGCGAGUGAUGUUCUAUGUUCUCACUGUCAUUUCCAUUACUCGUAUUUGAACCAUUGCUCGUAUUUGAUUGAAAUCUACUUUUUUGCUGGACCGGGCCUACAGAUAAAGGCCGGAAGUCUGCUCGUAUUUGAUUGAAAUCCUCUUUUUUUGCUGGACCGGGCUUGCAGAUUAAGGCCGAAAGUCUCCCAGCGGAUUAAGGCCGAAAGUCUCCCAGCGGAUUAAGGCCGAAAGUCUCACAGCGGGUGAUGUUCUCACUGUCAUUUCCAUUGCUCGGUUCUCACUGUCAUUUCCAUUGCUCGUAUUUGAUUGAAAUCCAAUCAUGCUCGUAUAUUCACAUAUCACUCACCAA